GAUGAACGCUAGCUACAGGCUUAACACAUGCAAGUCGAGGGACGGGCGCACGGGUGCGUGACACUUAUCCAACCUUCCCUUUACUCUGGGAUAGCCUUUCGAAUGAAAGAUUAAUACCCGUUGUAAAGGAUGGUGAUGCGUUGCAUUAGGUUGUUGGUGAGGUAACGGCUAACCAAGCCUUCGAUGGCUAGGGGUGCUGAGAGGAAGGUCCCCCACAUUGGAACUGAGGCACGGUCCAAACUCCGACGCGAGGCAGCAGUGAGGAAUAUUGGUCAAGGGGCGGUAGCCUGAACCAGCCAAGUAGCGUGAAGGAUGUAGGCUUAUGGGUCGUAAACUGCUUGUAUAUAAGAAUAUGUAUUAUAUGAAUAAGGAUCGGCUAACUACGUGCCAGCAGCCGCGGUAAUAC
rnacentral:rRNA from 1 species